GACACGGUCCAAACUCCUACGGGAGGCAGCAGUGAGGAAUAUUGGUCAAUGGACGAGAGUCUGAACCAGCCAAGUCGCGUGAGGGAAGACUGCCCUAUGGGUUGUAAACCUCUUUUAUAAGGGAAGAAUAAGUUCUACGUGUAGAAUGAUGCCUGUACCUUAUGAAUAAGCAUCGGCUAACUCCGUGCCAGCAGCCGCGGUAAUACGGAGGAUGCGAGCGUUAUCCGGAUUUAUUGGGUUUAAAGGGUGCGUAGGCGGUUUAUUAAGUUAGUGGUUAAAUAUUUGAGCUAAACUCAAUUGUGCCAUUAAUACUGGUAAACUGGAGUACAGACGAGGUAGGCGGAAUAAGUUAAGUAGCGGUGAAAUGCAUAGAUAUAACUUAGAACUCCGAUAGCGAAGGCAGCUUACCAGACUGUAACUGACGCUGAUGCACGAGAGCGUGGGUAGCGAACAGGAUUAGAUACCCUGGUAGUCCACGCCGUAAACGAUGCUCACUGGUUCUGUGCGAUAUAUUGUACGGGAUUAAGCGAAAGUAUUAAGUGAGCCACCUGGGGAGUACGUCGGCAACGAUGAAACUCAAAGGAAUUGACGGGGGCCCGCACAAGCGGAGGAACAUGUGGUUUAAUUCGAUGAUACGCGAGGAACCUUACCCGGGCUUGAAAGUUACUGACGAUUCUGGAAACAGGAUUUCCCUUUGGGGCAGGAAACUAGGUGCUGCAUGGUUGUCGUCAGCUCGUGCCGUGAGGUGUCGGGUUAAGUCCCAUAACGAGCGCAACCCCUACCGUUAGUUGCCAUCAGGUCAAGCUGGGCACUCUGGCGGGACUGCCGGUGUAAGCCGAGAGGAAGGUGGGGAUGACGUCAAAUCAGCACGGCCCUUACGUCCGGGGCUACACACGUGUUACAAUGGCAGGUACAGAGAGAUGGUCCCUUGCAAAAUGGAUCAAAUCCUUAAAGCCUGUCUCAGUUCGGACUGGGGUCUGCAACCCGACCCCACGAAGCUGGAUUCGCUAGUAAUCGCGCAUCAGCCAUGGCGCGGUGAAUACGUUCCCGGGCCUUGUACACACCGCCCGUCAAGCCAUGGGAGCCGGGGGUACCUGAAGUGCGUAACCGCGAGGAGCGCCCUAGGGUAAAACUGGUGACUGGGGCUAAGUCGUAACAAGGUAGCCGUACCGGAAGGUGCGGCUG
rnacentral:rRNA from 1 species